UUCUUGGGUUGCCGGGUGCCCCCAAAUCUUGGACAAGCCCCCAAGAUGUAAGGCCCCCUUUCAGGUACCCCCAUUCUAGUCUGGGGAGAGAGAGCUCACCCAAAGAAACACGAGAAUCC
rnacentral:pre_miRNA from 7 species